GAUGAAGAACGCAGCGAAAUGCGAUAAGUAAUGCGAAUUGCAGAAUUCAGUGAAUCAUCGAAUCUUUGAACGCACAUUGCGCCCGCCAGUAUUCUGGCGGGCAUGCCUGUCCGAGCGUCAUUUCAACCAUCAAGCCCCCGGGCUUGUGUUGGGGACCUGCGGCUGCCCGCAGGCCCUGAAAACCAGUGGCGGGCUCGCUGUCACACCGAGCGUAGUAGCAAUCACCUCGCUCAGGGCGUGCUGCGGGUUCCGGCCGUUAAACAGCCUUACAAAACCCAAGGUUGACCUCGGAUCAGGUAGGAAGACCCGCUGAACUUAAGCAUAUCAAUAAGCGGAGGA
rnacentral:misc_RNA from 1 species